rnacentral:rRNA from 1 species
AGCGAACGCUGGCGGCAGGCCUAACACAUGCAAGUCGAACGAACCUUUCGGGGUUAGUGGCGGACGGGUGAGUAACACGUGGGAACGUGCCUUUAGGUUCGGAAUAACUCAGGGAAACUUGUGCUAAUACCGAAUGUGCCCUUCGGGGGAAAGAUUAAUCGCCUUUAGAGCGGCCCGCGUCUGAUUAGCUAGUUGGUUGAGGUAAUGGCUCACCAAGGCGACGAUCAGUAGCUGGUCUGAGAGGAUGAUCAGCCACAUUGGGACUGAGACACGGCCCGAACUCCUACGGGAGGCAGCAGUGGGGAAUCUUGCGCAAUGGGCGAAAGCCUGACGCAGCCAUGCCGCGUGAAUGAUGAAGGUCUUAGGAUUGUAAAAUUCUUUCACCGGGGACGAUAAUGACGGUACCCGGAGAAGAAGCCCCGGCUAACUUCGUG